rfam:Gossypium arboreum cultivar AKA8401 contig_3388_13, whole genome shotgun sequence.
AUUCCAUGAUGAGGGUAUUUUCAUAAUGGUUCUUUAAAUCUUUCCUACGCUUCAUACAAGAACUCGUCAUCCAUUUUUUGGAAGGUAGUGAUCUCAUUCUGCAACU